GAAUAGCGUAGAGAUCUGGAGGAAUACCGGUGGCGAAGGCGGCCCCCUGGACAAAGACUGACGCUCAGGUGCGAAAGCGUGGGGAGCAAACAGGAUUAGAUACCCUGGUAGUCCACGCCGUAAACGAUGUCGACUUGGAGGUUGUGCCCUUGAGGCGUGGCUUCCGGAGCUAACGCGUUAAGUCGACCGCCUGGGGAGUACGGCCGCAAGGUUAAAACUCAAAUGAAUUGACGGGGGCCCGCACAAGCGGUGGAGCAUGUGGUUUAAUUCGAUGCAACGCGAAGAACCUUACCUACUCUUGACAUCCAGAGAACUUAGCAGAGAUGCUUUGGUGCCUUCGGGAACUCUGAGACAGGUGCUGCAUGGCUGUCGUCAGCUCGUGUUGUGAAAUGUUGGGUUAAGUCCCGCAACGAG
rnacentral:rRNA from 1 species